GCCCCUGCACGGCAGUAAGGAGCACAGGUAGUUUUCCAUCCCGUUCAAGGCAGACUAUUUAAACUCUCAGUGACCUGACUUCUGGUUUGGCCUUACACCGGUUUGAGCUGCAUAUGCUUUCCUGAUCUGCUGAGAGGCUACUGCUACACUUCAUUAAGGAAGACGCUGGCUCUCGAGGGAAUCCGUGCAGUAAAAACAGUUCUGCCAGCUGAUGUGAAUUAAGACGUGGGCAUGACAGAUGGGGUCAAAUGCAUUCUUCUGCUCCUGGCAUCCUUUCAUAUUCGGAUGGAAAUUCAAGCAUCCAUACUGUACGCUGCUGCAGUGUGAAGUUUGCUCUUUGAAUAUGCAAUCACCUGUGGGCAUCAAA